rnacentral:misc_RNA from 1 species
GAUGAAGAACGCAGCGAAAUGCGAUAGGUAGUGUGAAUUGCAGAUGUAACGUGAAUCAUCGAAUCUUUGAACGCAAAUUGCACUCUCUGGUAUUCCGGGGAGUAUGCCUGUUUGAGGGUCGCCAAAUCAACAUCGAAAUUCAUUUGCUUUUUUGUAAAUGUUUAUCGGAUUUGAGCCGUCCUUUUUAUUUUAAUUAAAGUGGCUUAAAAUGUAAUUUUUUUGGUAUCGAAAAACGUUAUUUUACGAUCAAAUUGAUUAAAAAAACAAACGUUUUCGAAUGCCGCCUUUUUAAUGUAAUACGUUUGACUGUGAUGGUUAAUCAUAGUUUCAUUCGUAUACGAUUUUUUAAUUUUUGACCUCAAAUCAGGUAAGAACACCCGCUGAACUUAAGCAUAUCAAUAAGCGGAGGA